rnacentral:rRNA from 1 species
UACGGGGGGGGGCAAGCGUUGUUCGGAAUUACUGGGCGUAAAGGGCUCGUAGGUGGCCAACUAAGUCAGACGUGAAAUCCCUCGGCUUAACCGGGGAACUGCGUCUGAUACUGGAUGGCUAGAGAUUGGGAGAGGGAUGCGGAAUUCCAGGUGUAGCGGUGAAAUGCGUAGAUAUCUGGAGGAACACCGGUGGCGAAGGCGGCAUCCUGGACCAACACUGACGCUGAGGAGCGAAAAGCCAGGGGGAGCAAACGGG